UACGUAGGGUGCGAGCGUUGUCCGGAAUUAUUGGGCGUAAAGAGCUCGUAGGCGGUGUGUCGCGUCGGCCGUGAAAACCUGGGGCUCAACUCUGGGCGUGCGGUCGAUACGGGCAUCACUAGAGUUCGGCAGGGGAGACUGGAAUUCCUGGUGUAGCGGUGAAAUGCGCAGAUAUCAGGAGGAACACCGAUGGCGAAGGCAGAUCUCUGGGCCGUAACUGACGCUGAGGAGCGAAAGCAUGGGGAGCGAACAGG
rnacentral:rRNA from 1 species